AGCUUGACUCUAGUCUGGCGCUGUGAAGAGAUAUGAGAGGUAUAAAAUAAGACCUGGCCGCCGGUGAAAUACCACUACUCUGAUUGUUUUUUCACUUACCUGGUGAGGCGGGGGGGCGAGCCCCAAGGGGGGCUCUCACUUCUGGUGCCAAGCGCGCGACCCGCUCCGGGGGCAGCGGCAGGGGGGGGGGGUUGGCGGGGGGG
rnacentral:ncRNA from 1 species